GCUUAAAGGGGCCGUAGCUGGCCCGGGCAAGUCCGUCGGGAAAUCCACGCGCUUAACGCGUGGGCGUCCGGCGGAAACUGUUCGGCUUGGGACCGGAAGAUCCGAGGGGUACGUCUGGGGUAGGAGUGAAAUCCCGUAAUCCUGGACGGACCACCGAUGGCGAAAGCACCUCGGAAGGACGGAUCCGACAGUGAGGGACGAAAGCUAGGGUCUCGAACCGGAUUAGAUACCCGGGUAGUCCUAGCUGUAAACGAUGCUCGCUAGGUGUGGCACAGGCUACGAGCCUGUGCUGUGCCGUAGGGAAGCCGUGAAGCGAGCCGCCUGGGAAGUACGUCCGCAAGGAUGAAACUUAAAGGAAUUGGCGGGGGAGCACUACAACCGGAGGAGCCUGCGGUUUAAUUGGACUCAACGCCGGACAUCUCACCAGCUCCGACAGCAGUGAUGACGAUCAGGUUGAUGACCUUAUCCGACGCUGCUGAGAGGAGGUGCAUGGCCGCCGUCAGCUCGUACCGUGAGGCGUCCUGUUAAGUCUGGCAACGAGCGAGACCCGCACCUCUAGUUGCCAGCAGCAUCUCGCGAUGGCUGGGUACACUAGGGGGACUGCCGUCGCCAAGACGGAGGAAGGAACGGGCAACGGUAGGUCAGUAUGCCCCGAAUGAGCUGGGCUACACGCGGGCUACAAUGGCCAGGACAGUGGGACGCGACGCCGAGAGGCGAAGCUAAUCUCCUAAACCUGGUCGUAGUUCGGAUUGCGGACUGAAACUCGUCCGCAUGAAGCUGGAUUCGGUAGUAAUCGCGUGUCAGAAGCGCGCGGUGAAUACGUCCCUGCUCCUUGUACCCACCGCCCGU
rnacentral:rRNA from 1 species